GAUGAACGCUGGCGGCGUGCCUAAUACAUGCAAGUCGAGCGAACGGACGAGAAGCUUGCUUUUCUGAUGUUAGCGGCGGACGGGUGAGUAACACGUGGAUAACCUACCUAUAAGACUGGGAUAACUUCGGGAAACCGGAGCUAAUACCGGAUAAUAUUUUGAACCGCAUGGUUCAAAAGUGAAAGACGGCCUUGCUGUCACUUAUAGAUGGAUCCGCGCUGCAUUAGCUAGUUGGUAAGGUAACGGCUUACCAAGGCAACGAUGCAUAGCCGACCUGAGAGGGUGAUCGGCCACACUGGAACUGAGACACGGUCCAGACUCCUACGGGAGGCAGCAGUAGGGAAUCUUCCGCAAAGGGCGAAAGCCUGACGGAGCAACGCCGCGUGAGUGAUGAAGGUCUUCGGAUCGUAAAACUCUGUUAUUAGGGAAGAACAUAUGUGUAAGUAACUGUGCACAUCUUGACGGUACCUAAUCAGAAAGCCACGGCUAACUACGUG
rnacentral:rRNA from 1 species